GCCGGGGUAACAGAGUGGAAUCCCGCGAAUCCGGUUCGCGUCGGGGUCACGUGGGUUCGAAUCCCAUCCCCGGCGCCA
rnacentral:tRNA from 1 species